UCUCAAAAUGGAAUCCCAUAAAACUAAUUACUCUUUCUCCUCUCGUGGUGACCCUUAACCACCACCACCACCACCAACAACAACAACAACAACAACACACAAUUAACAUAAUUGCCUCAAUCACCACCACAACUAACAUCGUAUCACAAGACGUUACUAUUGUACCCCGAGUUCUCGUUAUUGGUGCGUCGUCCCACGGUCUUAGCCUCUGCAUCGCCGUCCACAAUCUCCGGUAAUAUGUAACGCACUUCAAUUCUCUAGCGCCGAUGCCAUCCCAGAUUGAUGUUGUUAGUUGUAAAUUGUUAUUGUCAUCUUUGUUGCGUUGUUGGUUGCAAAGAGUCUACAUACGGAGUACUGCACUAUAUUUUGUUUUGGCAGGAAUUACAAACAUGCAUAAAACAAAAGAAAAACUACUACCCAAGACACAUAGCAUGUGUCUAUUCGUAGGUAGCAUAAGACACACUAUUACCAUAAUUAGAACUACCACUAGACUCCACACCGGAAGAACAAGACAUGGUACAAGACUUCACACUACUGCAAGACAUAGUCCUCUUUCCUGGUCGAUUGGAAGCCUUCAACGUAGGCGCAUAAACCUUCCUCUACAUUCCGGUUUGGUACCUUCAAUCAAAAACAUGAUGAGAAUGAGUUGAAUUUGUCGAGAGGAUUUAGGAGUAAGCAAUUCGGGUUCCAAAUCAACAAGAAUUUCUGGGUUUUCUUCUGGGUUUUCUUCCGGUAUUCAUCAUUGUUCUUAGAGUUAAUGUGAUGGAGACGAUUCUUUCAUUGAAGCAGCUCGAGUGUUAGGACGAGCCACCACAGGUUGAGUCACCUUCUUCUUCCCUGAGUUGUUCGAGCGAGUUUGUUUUCGAGGUCUACCCAUGGUGUCGAAGGAGUUUCCUCUUCGAACCUCUCAACAAACUUUUUUUGCUGCUGGUAUGUUAUCUUACUUACUCUGUAUUAAAAUCAAUUGACUGUUUGAUAGAAAUGGAGGGAUAUGAGAAGUGGGAGACCCCAGACACUGAGAGGAUAGUUUAAAUGAGACUUUCAAGAAGUAUGGUUAAAUCCUUCCAUUCUUUUAUAGCCAAUUCUCCCCGGUAACGAAAUUAUGCAUGUAUAGCCUCAUUCCUCUAUAGUUUGUACGUGACCAGAACAUGUCUAGGUUUUGAUGUGAGGGGAAAACAUGUUGGACCGUGGUUGGUUUUGUACCCAUAUCUCUCAGAAUUUGUCAUGUGCGCUACAAGUGAUUCUUUAGCGAAAUAAGUUGACAUUAGGAGCAUGGAGAGAUUGGGGGGGGGGGGGGGGGGGCAUAGUCGGUGAUGUUUAUGUAGUGGUGGUGAUAUUUUGGUGCAUAUUUAGAUGAGUUUGUUACAAUUGCCUGUAUAUGAAAUUAUUAUAGACAUUAUUACUUGUAGUUGUAUGUAUUGGUUGUCUUAGUUGUAUGUAUUGGUUGUAUAUAUUACUUGUAGUUGUAUGUAUUGGUUGUCUUAGCCUGUUCUAGACUGGAUCUUACAGCCAUACAUGAAAUAUUAGAAGAUAUUGGAUACAAGGAUGACGAGGGGAUUGCAAAUGAGGUAGGCUCCUCUACCUUUUGUCAUUUAUUUUCAUCUUUAUUGUUUGGUGGGUAUUUGGGUGUAAAUGCAGGAUAUGAAACAAAACACCAAUUAUAUGUGUCUAUAUAAGUAUAUAACUAUUAUAACAUGCUAUCUGCUGAGUGUAUUUUGUCUCUAUAUUUGGUGAAACUCCAAAGCAGGGUUUAGUGGGUUAAUUUCCCUUUUUGGAAAGUUCUUUUUUUUUAGGGUCCUAUAUACUUAGUACAUAAAUAAUUUACUAUGUUUGUUAAAGGUUUUUAGCUAAGAAACUCCACUAUUUGAAUAUUUCGUCUUACAGUUGUAAUUUUUUUCCUGGAACAUUGCAUUCAAGAAUGUUAGUCGACACAAAACAUUUUGGGACUAAGGCUUUGUUGUUGUUGUUGUUGUUGUUGUUGUUGUUGUUGUUGUACGAGGGUAGUGUGAGAAAACUGAACUUACUAACUUUAGAAAGUGGCCUAUAAUUUUGUGACAAACUGCAAAUAUGGCCCAUUUUCUUGGGACGGAGUGAGAUAUUUGGCUGUUCAAUUCAUUGAUCUGCCAAUCUUCAUCCAGAAAUAACAGACACUCAACCACUAGGCUAUGACUUAUGAGACCUUCAAAAGCUGGGUGUAAUCAUAUACUUCCUGAUUUGCUGUUUUUUCAGAUUUCCACAUGUCUUAGAAAAUGGAUGCACCAUAAUCAAUUUAGAUAAUAGAGCAGAUUGGGUCCUGCAUUGCUCAUUAUUGCAACAAAAUUACCAUUAUAAUAUUGUCUGAAUUGAUGAGAUUGGCUCCUGCUUAGCUUAUAUUGUUGCUAUAGUCAGCUGUUAGUAUAUAAAAUGACCAACUUUUGUUGUUUCGGUUGUGGUUCAUCUGUUUUUCAGUGACUGGAAAACGGUUUUGGUUUUCCCAAGCAGUUAGAAAUUUAUCAAUCUUAUCUUUUAUACAGGAAUUAUAAAAAAGCUUGCCAAAAGUUGUAAACCAAACUAGGACUUCACAAUCGCCAUGUGCUGCAAACCAAGUGCAAGUCCGCGUUCUUAACAACAUAAGAAAAGACACUAUAAAAACCAAGUGAUAAAUUACUGUUGUUGCAUGGAUAAAGUGUGAAUUUUAUGUUUGUAAGUUUGCUUUGUGUCACAUCUUUUGUUCUGCAGUGCUCAACUAUUUGAUGCUCAUAUAAAAAAUAAACGAGCCUUAAAUGUACAUAAUUUGGCCAAAAUAGGUGAUAAUGAGUCUUUGAAACAUAAAACUAAGUGUAUUAAGCAUAUAAAGCGUUUUAAAUACUUAUUUAAGUUCAUUAGUUUAAAGUGGAGACCAAAAUAAACCAUUUUAGUCAAAAUGUGGCCUAUAAUGAUUAAACGAGCCUUAAAUGUAUAUAACUUGACCAAAGUAGGUGAGAAUGAGUAUUUGAACUUAAAACUAAGUAUAUUUGACAUGUAAAAGGUUUAAAAUACUUAUUUAAGUUCAUUAGUUGAAAGUUAGGACCGAAAUAAACCAUUUAAGUCAAAACGUGACCUAUAAUGAUCAAACGAGCCUUAAAUGUGUAUAACUUGACCCAAGUAGGUGAUAAUGAAUCUUAGAAACGUUAAAAUAAGUCUAAUAAACAUGUAAAGGGUUUAAAAUGCUUAUUUAGAUUCAUUAGUUCAAAAUUGGGAGCGAAAUAAGCCAUUUUAGUCAAAUACGACCUAUAAUAAACAAACUAGCCUUAAAUCUGCAUAACUUGUCCAAAGUAGGUGAGAUUGAGGCUUAGAAACAUUAAAAUAAAUCUAAUAAACAUGUAAAGGGUUUUUAAUAGUUAUUUAGGUUCAUUAGUUCAAAGUUGGGACUAAAAUAAGCCAUUUUAGUCAAAAUAUGGCCUAUAAAUAUCAAAUGAGCCUUAAAUGUGUAUAACUUGACCAAAGUAGUUGAGAAUGAGUAUUUUAAAGUUAAAACUAAGUAUAUUUGACAUGUAAAAGGUUUAAAAUACUUAUUUAAGUUCAUUAGUUAAAAGUUAGGACCAAAAUAAGCCAUUUUAGUCAAAAUGUGACCUAUAAUGAUCAAACGAGCCGUAAAUGUGUAUAACUUAACCAAAGUAGGUGAGAAUAAGUUUUUGAAACAUUAUAAUAAGUAUAAUGAACAUGUAAAUGGUUUCAAAUACUUAUUUAAGUUCAUUAGAUGAAAGUUAGGAGCGAAAUAAGCCAUUUUAGUCAAAAUUUUCUAUAAUGAACAAACGAGCCUUAAAUGUGCAUAACAUGACCAAAGUAGGUGAGAUUGUGAGAAUGAGUGUUUGAAACAUAAAACUAAGUAUAUUAAACAUCCAAAAGGUUUAAAAUACUUAUUUAGGUUCAUUGGUUGAAAGUUAGGAGAGAAAUAAGCCAUUUUUAUUAUUAUAAGGUUCAUUAUUUCAUUGUUGUGAGCAAAUUAUGUCUUACUUUAAUGUGCCAUACAAUAUAUAUAAUAUACCUAACAUAUUUUUUUUUCUCGAUGAUCAAUCUUCUUUAGGUAUUCAACAAUCCGAGGGAGCAGCCUUUUACCAUGGAGUAGAUACAUGAAGUUCGAGAAAAGUUGGCAAAGUUCAUUACAUUUAUUGUCUUUGAUAUUUUCUUGUAGUAAAUCUAGAUUAUGAAUGCUUGUUUUUCAUGGAUUGUAAUGUAAUCAAUUUUUAUAUUUAUAAUUAUAUACUAUUCAAUUUAAUUAUCAAUAUAA